rnacentral:rRNA from 1 species
AUACGUAGGUGGCGAGCGUUGUCCGGAAUUACUGGGUGUAAAGGGCGCGUAGGCGGGGCUGCAAGUCAGAUGUGAAAUCCUGGGGCUCAACCCUGGGGCUGCAUUUGAAACUGUAGUUCUUGAGUGCAGGAGAGGGAAGUGGAAUUCCUAGUGUAGCGGUGAAAUGCGUAGAUAUUAGGAGGAACACCAGUGGCGAAGGCGGCUUCCUGGACUGUAACUGACGCUGAGGCGCGAAAGCGUGGGGAGCAAACAGGAUUAGAUACCCUGGUAGUCCACGCUGUAAACGACGGAUACUAGGUGUAGGGGGUUUGAAUACCUUCGGUGCCGGAGUUAACACAAUAAGUAUCCCACCUGGGGAGUACGGCCGCAAGGUUGAA